rnacentral:lncRNA from 1 species
AUGGUCUGUGACUGGAUGUUCCUAUUGGACGUUUUCAGGUUUUUGAUGCUGGCAAGAGAAUCUAACCUCUGCACUGUCUCAUUCUCACUCUCUGUCAUUCUGGCUGCACCAUGUCUUGUUCUCUCUCUGCCAUGUCUCAAGCUCAUUCUUCCACAUCUAGUUCUCCUUCUGUCAUGUCUUGUUCUCACUCUGUCAUGUCUUGUCCUCGCUAUACCAUGUCUUGUUCUUGCUCUGCCAUUUCUCAUUCUAACUAUACCAUACAUUGUAAUAUCUCUGCCAUGUCUUGGUCUUGCUACACUAUGCCUCAUUCUAGCUCUGCCAUGUCUCAUUCUCACUAUGCCAUGUCUCGUUCUUGCUAUACUAUGCCUCAUUCUCGCUAUACCAUGUCUUGUUUCUGCUAUACCAUGUCUCAUUCUUGCUCUGCCAUGUCUCGUUCUCGCUAUACCAUGUCUCAUUCUUGCUCUGCCAUGUCCUCAAUCUCACUCAAUCUUGUUUUCACUCUGCCAUGUCUUGCUUUCUUUCUGCCAUAUCUCGUUCUCGCUCUGCCAUGUUUCAAUCUCACUCUGCAAUGUCUCAUUCUCACUAUACCAUGCCUCAUUCUCGCUCUGCCAUGUCUCAUUAUCGCUAUACCAUGCCUCAUUCUCGCUCUGCCAUGUCUCGUUCUUGCUAUACCAUGUCUCGUUCUCACUAUACCAUGCCUCAUUCUCGCUCUGCUAUGUCUCGUUCUUGCUAUACCAUGCCUCAUUCUCGCUCUCAUUCUCACUCUGCCAUAUCUUUUUUUUACUCUGCCAUGUCUCGUUCUCACUCUGCCAUGUUUCAAUCAUACUCUGCCACAUCUCAUUCUCACUAUACCAUGUCUCAUUCUCGCUCUGCCAUGUCUCGUUCUCGCUAUACCAUGUCUCGUUCUCACUAUACCAUGUCUUAUUCUCGCUCUGCCAUGUUUCAAUCUCACUCUGCCAUGUCUCAUUCUUCUUACGUUAUAUGUAUAUUAUUUUACAUUUGAGGUGA